UACGUAGGGUGCUAGCGUUGUCCGGAUUUAUUGGGCGUAAAGGGCUCGUAGGCGGCGUGUCGCGUCGGGAGUGAAAGCCCGCUGCUUAACGGCGGGUUGGCUUCCGGUACGGGCAGACUAGAGUGUGGUAGGGGAGACUGGAAUUCCUGGUGUAGCGGUGAAAUGCGCAGAUAUCAGGAGGAACACCGAUGGCGAAGGCAGGUCUCUGGGCCACUACUGACGCUGAGAAGCGAAAGCAUGGGGAGCGAACAGG
rnacentral:rRNA from 1 species